rnacentral:rRNA from 1 species
UAGGGAAUAUUGCGCAAUGGGCGAAAGCCUGACGCAGCGACGCCGCGUGAGUGAUGAAGGCCUUCGGGUCGUAAAGCUCUGUUGUACGGGAAGAAGUUUGCAGUGCUAAUACCACUGCAGAUUGACGGUACCGUAUAAGAAAGGAUCGGCUAACUUCGUGCCAGCAGCCGCGGUAAGACGAGGGAUCCUAGCGUUGUUCGGAAUCACUGGGCGUAAAGCGUUUGUAGGCGGCUCUAUAAGUCGGGUGUGAAAGCCCAUGGCUCAACCAUGGAAGUGCAUUCGAAACUGCAGAGCUUGAAUAUGGAAGAGGAGAGUAGAAUUCCAGGUGUAGUGGUGAAAUACGUAGAUAUCUGGAGGAAUACCGGUGGCGAAGGCGACUCUCUGGUCCAAUAUUGACGCUGAGAAACGAAAGUGCGGGGAUCAAACA